AGAAAUCCAAGGCAGUGCAUGCUCAAGAAAAUAGCAAUUAUGUUAUGGAUUAAACUAGAAAUUAAGUAGCAGCCGCAUUUUGAGACAUUAUUCGAGGUUCAGAAUAUCCCAGUUAGAAGAUUUGCAGCAGUGGAAAUUGCGGCUCCAGUGAUAGCACAUUGAACUACAUGAUCAUGGGAGACAUCAUCUGUUGUAAGUGCCAAUGCCAUGCCUGUUAUAGCUCCAGCCACUGCACUAUUUUUCCAAUCAUGAGCUCCACGAGCCUCUCUUAGCCCAUAAGUGAGACCUGAAUACACCCCAGCAGCCAGUCCCCACUGUAAUGAUUCUUUUCCCGUGCUCUUCACCAAGGCUUCAAGAGAAUUUCGGUUGGUUUCUCCUUUGAGGUCAGGGAAUCGGUGGCGCUUCUUGGAAUCAGUAGACAGCUCUGGCGGCACAUCACUUGAAUCAAAUCCACUACCUUCAAUUGCAGUGAAAUAAGCCUCACGAGACACCGCCUGAAUUGCUCCAAUCCCAGCGGCUUUGACAAAGCUCUCGGCGAUGCGGUUGAGGAGAGGGUGGCCAAGGUCGAAGAAGCAACCCUUUUCGAAUCCACGGAGUUCAUCCAGUAAUGACAAGUUCUUGCUCAUUUUUGGAGCUCUUUUCUUCUCUCUGUCUCUCUCUCUCUCUCUCUCU
rnacentral:misc_RNA from 1 species